rfam:Ornithorhynchus anatinus chromosome 4, whole genome shotgun sequence.
AGCAGAGUGGCUCGGUGGCAAGAGCCCGGGCUUGGGAGUCAGAGGUCGUGGGUUCGAAUCCCAACUCCGCCA